UGGGCCUCUCCUGGGUUGCAGGGAGCUGCUGCUACGUGCCUCCUGCCGCUCUGACCUCGGAGCCUGCAGGGCCGUUCCUCGCACAUUUCUCACCCCCGUCUCCCAACUGCGGCUGCACGGCAGUUUCCAUUCAAUAACUGCGCUCUCCCAGCGUUGCUCACGGCUCAGCUCCUGGGCCCUGCUCACACAGGCCUCCCCAGCUAUGAAUACCUUGCCACGUUUUGCUUUCCAUGGAAUCACAGAAUUGCAAGAGUUGAAAGGGACCUCCAGAGAUCAUCAAGUCCAAUCCUGCUGCAAAGCAGGCC
ensembl:lncRNA